AUUUACUUAAAGAGACGGUAAAAACUAAACAAUUCAAAUCAUUAAAAUAGAGCUAAUGUAAACCCACAAAGCCUCAACUAGGCCCACUAAUCCAAAGCCUAGUCCAAAAGAAAAAUAAGUGGUGUCAUAGGUGCAAUAAUAAUGUACCAUUACAGCCGGACAAUGGAAUCAUCAUCAAUUUGCUGAAUUCACCCUUGCAACCACUACCGAAAACCCACCGGACUCCCUUGACUAAAACCCAUUCCUAAUGUCCCUCGCCAGAUCCUUUGCGAAAAGUCGCAAUUGAACAGAACAUGUUCUAAAUCCUCCUCUGCCAAAUGACACUUUUUUUAGUACCCAUCGAACAGGAAGAAUGUCAUGGAGACAUUUCCAAAGAAAAAAGGUCCAUUUAGUAGGGAUAUUAAACUUCCACAGAGAUUGGUUUUGUUGAGAUGGUGUCAUGUGGGGAAAUUUACAUUCCAACGCCCGCAAGUAGCCCGACUUAACAGAAUAUUCCCUGUUCUUAGUAUAUGCCCGAACUAAUUUGUCCUCACAAGGAUGUUGAGGAAUAUGAAAGAAAGAUCGAAUUAAUUAACAGAUUAUUGAGAAUCAAUAAAAUCAGAGAGUUUUAAAGAAACCCCUUUCCUCUUAACAGAUUAUUAACAGCCGGAAUGCACUGAUCCUCUAGAGGAUUAUUAAGAGAUCCAUCACUAACCCUCCAUUGAACCCCAGAAUAGAUAAAAUCACGCCCCCAAAUAAUACUCCGCCAACCCCAUGAAGAGUUUGCUCUAAGUUUCAUAUUUGAUGAUCAAGCUUCAUCUAUUGAUCAAACAAUUCAUCUUUAUGAUGAAAUUAUCCAGAUUGCAUCAUCUCAUCUCAUCAUGGUGUCAACCCAUUGCAAAAUUCCAUUACCCACAACAAUGAUUUAAAUGGCACUCAUUAUUUUGUUAAGUAACCAUCUCACUGAUUUGUUUGAAUCUCAGGUAUAGACUUUUGUGGUGGUUUUGAUCAAUUUGCUUAAUAAGGUGGCACCGGAUUGGUAACUCGAAUCCACUAUUAAUGAUAUUACUAACUUCUUAAAAUGUUUUGAUUAUGUUUGUCUCUAUAAGACUUCUAGAGCGGUUGUCAAGCUACUACCCCAUGAUUUGGUACGAUCUGUAUGUUCUGCUAGUUCUUAUUAAUAUAGUAAUGAUUUUAUUCUGCUCAAAAAUAAAUAAAUAAAAUAAUGUACCACCACAUCUGAUGUUCUUGUUGUUAUGUUUUCAUAAAUUAAAAUACAAAAAGUUGGUGGAAUAAUGAUCCAAAAAUGGUGGAGAGGAACAAAUGAAAUGAAAAUAUUUGAGACUCACAAAAGGCUCUUACAAUUUAACUCACAUUGAAGUAGUACGAUAAAUGUCAACUUUUAAUUAGUUACACACCUAAUGAUAAAAGGUCUAUCUUCCUUAAUGAUAAAAGGUCUAUCUUCCUUGCCACAUCGUUGUAGAUGAAUUUGUGGGUCUAAAAUGUGAAUUUCUAACAUUACUUUAAGUGAAAAUUGAGAUUUUUUUUGUUAUAUUCACUUUCCCAUAUUUUGUGCCUUCACAUAAACAAGGGCAACAGAGAGAAUCUUUGUUAGUUUCUUAAAUCAAAUACAAGCUACGCGUUCUAAUUUUCUAUUAUUUUAACCAUAAUAAGGUUGAAAAAAAAAAAAAGGAAAAAGAAAAUUAGUAAUAAAAUCCCUUACUAGUUGGCAAGAUCAUCUACAUAACAAAAUCAUAUAUUAAUGUUGUGUUUGGUUGGGGGAUUUGGAGAGGGAUUUGAAAAGGAAAAGAGAAAAUGUGUGUGAAACUAAGUGAAACAUAUGUAUGUUUUAUUCACAUUUCACCUAUCUUUUUCAUUUUCCUUUCCAAAUCCCUCCUCAAAUUCCCCAACCAAACACAGCAUAAGAUGAUUUUUUAACCACUAGUUUGUAUUUUCAACAUAAAAUACUUUCAGUGAUUAAACAGAACACACGUUACGUAAAAAUAAAAAAUAAAAAGUGCUUGAAAUUUGAAAUGUGUGGUGCAUGCACGUCGGCCACCCAAAAUAAUUUUCAUCCACACAUUUCAAAUAUUGAGUACUUUUCUGGAUAUUUUUCUCAUUAAACAGAACCCGUUGCAAAAUGCGCUACUGUAAAUGGAUGAAUAUACUCCACCUACUACACCUACCACCAAACCUACCAUCACCAACUCCACCUACUACACCUACCACCACCUACUCCACUACACCUACAUCUCCUAUAUAAGGAACCCCUCACCAUUUGUAAUAUAAAACAUACAUCAAUCAAUAAUACAUCAAUUUAUUUUACAUGGUAUCAGAGCAGGUUUAGAACCUAAUAUUUUCGCUUCACCGGCGGACGGCAACCUCACCUUAGUCGUCCGCCGGACCUCAACCUAGUCCGCUAGAAUUUUCUACACAUACCUUCAUCAUCAUCUUCAUCCAGCCCAUCCUGAAUAUGUUUAACUGGUGGUUUUGGUUUGACAGCAACAAUCAGCGAAUCUUCAUUAUUCAAUUCGACGAAUUCAUCUAAACCAUUUUUGUUGUCAUGCAACACAUUCCCUUGCAAAAUAAGCCUCAAAUUCUCAAUAGGUAAAUGAGCCUUCCCAGCAAUCAAUCUUCUCAGAUCCUGCACUUUGAUGAGAGAGGGGACAUUGAGGAGGAGAAGGACCGAUGGUUUUGAGAGAGAUUUGAACCAUUGUCUUGUCUUCUCCAUUGCCGCCAUGAUUCUUCUCGAUCUCAACCAUGGCGUCGUGGCUUGAAGAUCUUUCAGCUACACAGAUUUUCCAGCAAUGGCGUUCCAACUUCCUCAAGUCGGAUCUGACUCAGCCCAGCAAAUCAAGCUUCCACACCUUCACCGAGCUCCCGUCGUGAGCCAACACGCCUUCCGACAAACUCAGAUGGACGAUCGGAGCCGGGCCACGUGUCUCGUCAUCCUCGUCUUCGCAGAGAAGAGCUAUGCUUUCAAGAUCAACCCGACCGUCGUCCUCGUCAUGAGCCUCUGCUUCAUCGGCUUCGACACUUGCUCUCUUCUCUUCCUCUCUCUAGCUAGGUCUCUCACGAGAUACACCCAUCACCUCUCCCUCUCGGCAUACACACACAUAUGCAUGGCAGCUCUCUCCCUCUCGGCAACUCUCUCUUCCGGAAAACACACAGACAACCUCACCACCCACAAUUCAUCAACCUCUCUCUCUCUAUAGCUCUCUUUCGGGUUAGAGCACACAGCAGCACACACACGCAGAGGGAGGAUCACACAGGGGGACACAACACACACUGUCACUCUCUCUCUCUACUCAAGGCUACCCACCACUAUGUCCCCUUUUCAACCCAUCAUCCCCACCUUUUGCACACACCCAUACUCCUUUUUUAUUUUUAAACCAAUCUUCACCUUUUUCUUUUCAUCCACUUUACUUUUUCCACCACCACACACUACCAGCGCACAUGCUUUCCUUUCAUAUAUUAUUAUUAUUAUUAUUAUUAUUAUUAAAAAAAAAAAAAAAA